CCUGCGCCCCAGCCUAGACCUCUAGGACGGAGCUGAGUCGGCCCCAUCUCUUGCGUUUUCUGCCUCCACCUGUUCACAGCUACAGAAGCCUAUAUUCUCAGAAUGCUGGAGCCAGGAGAGUUUCAAGAGAGCAUCAGAGGCAGAAGGGCCUCCGAGCUCAAGCAGAUUCAUGGCUUUGUUUCCCACAUGGGGAAACUGAGGCCAAGAGGAAGGACACAGCACACCUGGGGCCUUCUCCACCUCCCCUCCACGAUAGAUGAGAGUGGUGCUGGAGCCGCCGAGAACCGAGGAAAGCUGCUUCCCAUUCCGCCCUCUACUCUGAGGGAGGGGGGCAGCCCCUGAUUCCAUUCACUCAUCCAAUCUUCUGGCCUCUGGGGACUGCUGCCAGUCUGGUGGGAGAGAGCCAGGAUGGGGGCGGGGGGAACAUGUGACCCAAGCCUCCCUCCAUGCCCUUUAUCUUCCUUUUUGUUGAAAAGUAAAUUAGCCCCAUGUUACAGAUAGGGAAAUUAAGGCCCAAAGUCAACAUAGCUAAUAAGUUGUAGAGACAGGAUUUGAACCCAGACUGUGGCUCCUGGGAUGCUGCCGGCUGCUUCCUGAGGGGCCCUUCCUUGCUAGCACAUGCCCUUCCCUUGACUCUCCUCAACCCGCCUCCGGCUCUUCCCUGGGUUCUGUCAGCAGCUCUGCCCCCUCCUUCUCCCCUUGAAUGUUGGGUCUCCUGGGGACUCUGUCCUCCUCUCCAUGCACAGUUUCCAUGUGUGUGCACGUACUCCUGUGACUUUGGGGGUCAACUCUGUGAUGACAGCCUCCCCCUCUGCGAUGACAGCCUCCCCCUCUGCAGUUUCAUCCCUGAGCUUCCUGUGGACGCCUCGCCUUCUCAUCCCCUGGGCACCUCAAACUCAGCAUCUGUCUCCAAACGUAUCCACCUCCCCCCAACAGUGACUCCUCCACCGGCAGUGCCCAAGUCAGGAACCCCUCUCUCGAGCAUCCUUUGCUCCUUGCCUAAGAAACAACCUAGAGUGUCCCCAGGUGUGCUUUUAAUACUCCAGAUGCUUUUCCUUCCACCCCACAGUCCGUCCCCUCUCCCGCCCACCCCAUCAUCUAGCGAACUCCUAUUUAUCCUUCAGAUCCCAGUUUGAGCACCACCUCUUCUUGGAACCGCUCCCUGCGCCCCCCCACCCCUGGCUUGACUGGGGAGCCCUUCGGAGCCCCCUGAUCUCUACUCACCCUCCCUUGUGUAUUCUGAGCUCUUCUGUAUGGUGGGGUUGAGCACAGUGCGUGGUCGGUAAUUAGUGAAUGUUUGCUGAGCCAGGGAAUGAAGGUGACAUUGAGGCUGGUUGUUAGGAUGAGGAGGGUUUUGCCGACUAGAGAGAAGUGGAAAAAGGACCCCUGGGUCCUCUGGGUGCAGGCAGUGAGCUGGAAGCCCUUGUGAUUUUUGUCCUGAGCGCGCUCCACGUGGAGGCCACAGCUAGAGCAAAGGCUUUGAGGCAGGACUCUGUUCUUCUACCCUCUUUGCCCCAGGAUCUGCAGAGUCUGGUGUGUCCAGAGGGUCAGGCUACAGAGGUGGGCUUUACCCUGUGGACGACGGGGAGCCAUAGGCAGCGUCAGGACAGGGAGGCGCCGCUGGCUGGGAGCCUGGGCUUGAUUGAUCUCGUCUCAGAACUAGUGCUCUGCAAACUCUAGACCGCUUAGCUCUCCAGGUACCACUGUGUGGCAGCACUAUUCAUGUUCCCAUUUUGUAGAUUGGAAACUGAGGCUCAGAAAGGGGACAUAAUGUGCACCAAAUGACGCAACUUGUCCGUGGUGGAGUCAGGAUUCAAACCCAUCUCUGUGUGACUCCCAAGCCGAAGCUCCAAAAUGGUUCUCACACGCGUCAGCAGACCCGGGCUUUUUUCAGUGGCCUAAGGCAAAACUGAGAGAAAUAAGGACAACGUGGUGACUUUUUCACAAAGCUAAAUUUAUUUCAUUUAAAGGACUGUCUUUUAGUCUGAGAUUAUGUCCUUUCUUUUAUGAAAUGAUGGGCCUGGGAAUUUUUAAAAAAUGUCCUUACUUGGCAAAAUAAAAAGCUGACAACCUCAUGCAGUCCCUAAAUUGUUUUUGAAAAUUUUACCGGUGCGUGAAAUCCCUGAGUCUGGGCGCCAUCCUGCCUUCUCCCUCCUGAGCUCUGGGGCCAGAGGUGGGAGGAGUCUGGGUGGGGAUGAAAGGAUUAGAGGGAUGGGGCAGCCGACAGUCUCCCCGGUCUAUUCCUCCUG